rnacentral:rRNA from 1 species
UACGUAGGCAGCAAGCGUUGUUCGGAAUUACUGGGCGUAAAGAGUGUGUAGGCGGUGUUCUAAGUUUGUCGUGAAAUCUCCCGGCUUAACUGGGAGGGUGCGGCGAAAACUGGAAUGCUAGAGGAUGGGAGAGGUAAGCGGAAUUCCUGGUGUAGCGGUGAAAUGCGUAGAUAUCUGGAGGAAUACCGGUGGCGAAGGCGGCAUCCUGGACCGACAUUGACGCUGAGGAGCGAAAGCUAGGGGAGCAAACGGG